AUGCGUAGGUGUCUCUGUAAGUCUUUCGUCAAAGCCCGUGGCUCAACCACGGAACGGCGUUGGAAACUACAGAGAUUGAAGUAUUGAGGGGUGAACGGAAUUCCCGGUGGAGUGGUGAAAUACGUUGAUAUCGGGAGGAACACCAGAGGCGAAGGCGGUUCACUGGCAAUAUUUUGACACUGAGGCUCGAAAGCGUGGGUAGCAAAAC
rnacentral:rRNA from 1 species